UACGAAGGGGGCUAGCGUUGCUCGGAAUCACUGGGCGUAAAGCGCACGUAGGCGGAUUGUUAAGUCAGGGGUGAAAUCCUGGAGCUCAACUCCAGAACUGCCUUUGAUACUGGCAACCUAGAGACUGGAAGAGGUUAGUGGAAUUCCCAGUGUAGAGGUGAAAUUCGUAGAUAUCGGGAGGAACACCGGUGGCGAAGGCGGCGACCUGGGUAGAUACUGACGCUGAGGUGCGAAAGCGUGGGGAGCAAACAGG
rnacentral:rRNA from 1 species